GACGAACGCUGGCGGCGUGCUUAACACAUGCAAGUCGAACGGUGAACCCGCUUCGGUGGGGGAUCAGUGGCGAACGGGUGAGUAACACGUGGGCAACCUGCCCCCGGCUCUGGGAUAACCCCAAGAAAUUGGGGCUAAUACCGGAUAUGACCGCUGACCGCAUGGUCUGGUGGUGGAAAGAUUUAUCGGCUGGGGAUGGGCCCGCGGCCUAUCAGCUUGUUGGUGGGGUAGUGGCCUACCAAGGCGACGACGGGUAGCCGGCCUGAGAGGGUGACCGGCCACACUGGGACUGAGACACGGCCCAGACUCCUACGGGAGGCAGCAGUGGGGAAUAUUGCGCAAUGGGCGGAAGCCUGACGCAGCGACGCCGCGUGGGGGAUGACGGCCUUCGGGUUGUAAACCUCUUUCAGCAGGGACGAAGCCGUGAGGUGACGGUACCUGCAGAAGAAGCACCGGCCAACUACGUGCCAGCAGCCGCCGCGGUAA
rnacentral:rRNA from 1 species